rnacentral:rRNA from 1 species
ACAGGUGCUGCAUGGCGUGUCGUCAGCUCGUGUCGUGAGAUGUUGGGUUAAGUCCGCAACGAGCGCAACCCCUGCUGCCAGUUGCCAACGGGUAAUGCCGGGCACUCUGGCGGGACUGCCAUCGACAAGAUGGAGGAAGGUGGGGAUGACGUCAAGUCAUCAUGGCCCUUAUGUCCAGGGCGACACACGUGCUACAAUGGUCGGCACAGCGGGAAGCGAGGCAGUGAUGCCGAGCGGAUCCCUUAAAGCCGGUCUCAGUUCGGAUUGAAGUCUGCAACUCGACUUCAUGAAGCUGGAAUCGCUAGUAAUCGCAGAUCAGCCAAGCUGCGGUGAAUACGUUCCCGGGCCUU